rnacentral:rRNA from 1 species
GACGAACGCUGGCGGCGUGCCUAAUACAUGCAAGUAGAACGCACAGUUUAUACCGUAGCUUGCUACACCAUAGACUGUGAGUUGCGAACGGGUGAGUAACGCGUAGGUAACCUGCCUGGUAGCGGGGGAUAACUAUUGGAAACGAUAGCUAAUACCGCAUAAUAUUGAUUAUUGCAUGAUAAUUGAUUGAAAGAUGCUAUUGCAUCACUACCAGAUGGACCUGCGUUGUAUUAGCUAGUAGGUGAGGUAACGGCUCACCCAGGCGACGAUACAUAGCCGACCUGGGAGGGUGGUCGGCCACACUGGGACUGAGACACGGCCCAAGCUCCUACGGGAGGCAGCAGUAGGGAAUCUUCGGCAAUGGACGAAAGUCUGACCGAGCAACGCCGCGGGAGUGAAGAAGGUUUUCGGAUCGUAAAGCUCUGUUGUAAGAGAAGAACGGGUGUGAGAGUGGAAAGUUCACACUGUGACGGUAUCUUACCAGAAAGAGACGGCUAACUACGUG